rnacentral:rRNA from 1 species
UACGUAGGGCGCAAGCGUUGUCCGGAAUUAUUGGGCGUAAAGAGCUCGUAGGCGGUCUGUCACGUCGGCUGUGAAAGCCCGGGGCUCAACCCCGGGUCUGCAGUCGAUACGGGCAGGCUAGAGUGCGGUAGGGGAGACUGGAAUUCCUGGUGUAGCGGUGAAAUGCGCGGAUAUCAGGAGGAACACCGGUGGCGAAGGCGGGUCUCUGGGCCGUAACUGACGCUGAGGAGCGAAAGCGUGGGGAGCGAACAGG